CGUUUUUAUUUACUCUGCAUAUUAGUUUUGACCUAAUUCAAACUUUAUAAUGUUCGACCAAGUAUGUAAAACACAAUAUAAACUUCCACAAUAAAAAGAAUAUAUGAUUUGAAAAUAUGUUCAAUGAUGAUUCUAACGAUGUCGAUUUGGUAUUGCAGAUGUCAAUUAACUUUUUGCAUAAACUUGGUCAAAGUUAACAAAGUUUGACUUGAGACACAGCUAAUAUGCAGAAGUAAACGAGGGAGUAUAAUGCUUAAAUGAAAUGAGCUGUUCCAUAAUUUAUGUCACAUGAUUUAGGUAACUUCUCCUUAAAGUGUAUUGAAUCAUUCUGUUAUGACCGGUUUGCAUUAUAACCGGAGAAGGCCCAGUUAAAGCAAGCUGCUCAGUUAUCUUAUAGUAUUAGGGGCUUAGCCCAGUUUAUUAUAUUUCCUAGCCUAGAGAGAUUAUAUAUACUCAUGUAAGAGACACCGUUUAAGGUUAAGCAAAAUCAAUCUAUUUGAUCGGCUCCUAGCAGGAGCCGGUGCCCUAACCCUAGCCGCCCUAUUCUCUCUCUCUCUCUCUCUCUCAACAACGGUGCCUCGCCGCCGGCAGCCGAGCCCAUCGCCACGCCAACCACCCUUCCACCCAUAUAACCUGCGAUCUAGGUCUGGUAGGGAUCCUAUUCCUAUCAACUUGGUAUCAGCUAGCUCGGGAUCGACCAUGUCUGCACCUUCGCCCACUCCCAGCCUUCCGCCGCCCACCACCACCACGCCGCUGGCCACCUCGGCCGCCGCGCCGGCCUUGACCGGGCCGCUUCCCGCGCCCGCCUGGCCUCCACCGAUCUCGGACGGCUUCGUCCUCACCCGGGCAUCCGCUUGCUACUCGCAGGGCCCUACUGUUAGAGCAUAUAUCUCCAUAUGUGGUUUUGGUAACUGAUGACAAUUCCUAUGGACUAAUGGUUGCCUUAAGUUACAUUUAUAGGAUUUGUCCAUAGGCACUUCUUGAAGUCCAUCUGUUGGGUUCAAGGAGUUUAUAUGAUGACCAAGAUGGUACUCAAGGUAUCAUCCAAAGAAUGGUCAUAGAGACACAUGGUUGAUCAAGAUCUCAGACAAAGAGUAAAUCAAGAUGAUCAACACACAAAGCGUACAAGAUGUACCGGGAGGGAUCAAGUGAUCCCAUGGUAUGGUAAGCAUUGUCCAUUACGUGUUUGUGUACUAACCCAUGGUCUUCGUGAGAGUUCUAUGUGGGGGUUAGGUGUGUUUCCAUGGGCUUGCGUCAAAGGGAAGAUCUCAUACAACCCAUGAAGUAUGACGUCAAGUUGUGAUCGUCAUCAAGAUUGCGAUGUGCAAGUUCAAGUGGAUCAGCACGAAGAUAUCAUGCUUGAAGCUUGCCGUCCAUUGUGGUGGCAAUGGACUUGUGAAGAUAUGCUGAAGAGUGGCUCACCCAUAGUGAGUAUGGGGGAGCAAUCAACUAGUCUUCAUCAAGCCAACACAAUCAAGAAAGGUGGUCCAUCUUGAGGAAGCCAAGAUCAUCAUCAUCUAGCUCAAGAGGACGAGGUGCAAGGUAUAGGUUUUCCCUUGAUAGGUUUUCUGUUUAGGAUAGAUUGCUGUACUAUCAAGGGGGCUCUCAAGUGAGUAGCUUGAUCGUAUCAUUCGUUGAGAGCUCAAACCAUUUGCAUCCUUGCAUCAUACUUCUUGGUUCUUGUUUGGUGUUUCUCUUUGUGAGUUUUAGAGCUUAUGGUCAUCUUCGUGACAAGCUCGAGUUCAUCGAAAACGGAGUCCAUAUGCAUCUACUAUGAUGUUUUCGAUGUUGGAGUUUUUGCCGGUUCUUCAUUCAUAGAGGACUCACAUCUCUAUAUCUUUGGCAUAUUCAUAACCACAUGGUCUUAAGAUUUCCAGUCGCUGUUUGGAUAGCCCUUGUCGUCCUGAAUCCAACAAGCUUGGGUUUGCUCGAUUCGGAGCUCGUAUGCGAAAGUUAUGGCUGUUUCAGUGGCGAGCGGUAGUACCGCUGGACCUAGCGGUAGUACCGCUAGAGUUGGCGGUAGUACCACCCCUGGUCAGCGGUAGUACCGCUCCAGGAGCUUAGUACCGCCUGCCUAGCGGUUGUUCGUGGACGGACCUUUUUGCGAAGACUUUCUUGGCGGUGGUAGUGCCGUUGCACUACCAGGGGCCAGCGGUAGUACCGCUGCAGCCAGCAGUAGUACCGCUAGCUGGCGGUAGUACCGCUGGAGUGCCAGCGGUAGUACCGCUGCAGCCAGCGGUAGUACCGCUGGAGCUCGGGCAGGAAGUGGGGGUAACGGUCUGAUUCCUUCCCCCACUAUAUAAAGGGGGUCUUCUUCCCCCUUGGUCUUAUCUAUCAGUUGAGCUCUUGUUCUACCUCCAUUGUUGACAUUCUUAGAGCUUGAUUACUCUCAAUCCCUCCAAUGAUUCUUGCUUGUUCUUGAGGGAAAAGAGAGAGGAGAUCUAGAUCCACAUCUCCACCAAUCACUUUCUCCUCUAUGUGAGGGGAACCCCUUGGAUCUUGAUCUUGGAGUUCUUUGUGAGCUCCUUGUUCUUCCUCUCAUAUUUCUCCAUAGCUUUUGUUGUUGUGGAGGGAUUUGAGUGUGAGGGACUUGACCACUUCGUGUGUUCUUGUCAUUGCAUUAGUUGCAUCGGCUUGAGUUCUCCACGGUGAUACGUGGAAGUGAGAAGUUGAGAAGCUUACUACCUUUGGUACUUAGUACCCUUGAUAUUGUUCUUCGUGGAUGCUUUGGCGUCCUAGAAGCUUGGUGGUGUCUCGGAGCUCAAUCAUUGUGGUGUGAAGCUCCGGGAAGCGUCGGGGUCUCCAAUUAGGUUGUGGAGAUUGCCCCGAGCAAUUUGUACGGGUACCGGUAACCGCCCCCAAGGGUUGCCACGUGUACGGGUUCGGUGACCGCCCCCAAGGGUUGCCAUUUGUACGGGUUCGGUGACCGCCCUCAAGGGUCCCUUAGUGGAAUCACGGCAUCUUGCAUUGUGCGAGGGCGUGAGGAGAUUACGGUGGCCUUAGUGGCAUCUUGGGGAGCAUUGUGCCUCCACACCGCUCUAACGGAGAUUAGCAUCCGCAAGGGUGUGAACUUCGGGAUACAUCAUCGUCUCCCCGUGCCUCGGUUAUCUCUUACCCGAACCCUUUACUUAUGCACUUUACUUUGUGAUAGACAUAUUGUUUAUUGUAAUAUAUCUUGCUAUCACUUAGUUGUUUAUCUUGCUUAGCAUAAGUUGCUGGUGCACAUAGGUGAGCCUAGUUGUUUGUAGGUUUUGUGCUUGACAUAUUAAACGUUAGUUUUAUUCCGCAUUUGUUCAAGCCUAAACCUUAACUAUUUUAAAGCGCCUAUUCAACCCCCCCCCUCUAGGCGACAUCCACGUCCUUUUCACCUACGCGCCGCCGCAGCCGGCCACUGCCUUCUUCCCCAACGUGGCGCCACCUCCGUCCCUAUCGGCAGCGCGGCACCAGGGGACGACCUCAACGCAAAGCGGGCAGCAGCCAACUCCGGGCGCGCCCAUCCAGGAGGUGCGGUUCCCCUCGUCGCCGUCACCACUGCCUGCUUGGCUUGCCGAGCCGGUCUACACGACCGGCCCGGAUCAGCCCUCUCUUCUGCCACCGGCCGCGGCGCACUCAGUCGGGCCGCUCGCCGGCCCCUCCGGGACUGCGGGCCCCUACGCCGGCAUGGACGGGCCCCUGUUCCACGGCGGAACACUGCAGCCCGCCUUCCCGGCCCCAUCAUCUGCGCUGCUCCACGCCGAUGAGACGCCGAUGGCCGUGGGCUACGGCCAUCCCCCGUUGCGUUUCUCCAAGCUGGAGUUCGCCACCUACGACGGAUCCGGGGACCCCUGAAUUGGCUCAACCAGUGCGACCAAUUCUUCAGGGGGCAACGCACGCUCACGUCUGACCGCACCUGGAUCGCCUCGUACCACCUCCGGGGUGCUGCUCAGACGUGGUGCUACGCCCUCAAACAGGACGAGGGCGGGAUGCCGCCAUGGGAACGCUUCCGCGACCUGUGCCUCCUACGGUUCGGGCCACCCGUCCGCGGAAGCCGGCUCGUGAAACUCGGACGCCUUCCGUUCCUCUCCUCGGUGCAGGAUUUUGCCGAGCGCUUCCAGGCGUUGGCCUGCCACGCCCCCUGCGUCUCGGCUCUCCAACGGGCCGAACUCUUUGUCGAUGGCCUACCCGACCACAUCCGCGUGGACGUCGAGAUGCGAGGAUUGCAGGACCUCCAGACGGCCAUGUACUACGCCCGUGCGUUCGAGCGUGGUGCAUGGUGCAGUGGCAUGCAGCAGGCGUUCCCGGCCCGGGCCCCUCGCCCACCCCCUCGGGCGGCCGUGUCUGCGCCCAGCCGACCGGCCCAGGCAGCGGCAGGGUCCCCCGACACGGCUGCAACUCGACCAUUUCGUCGGCUCACCCCGGCCGAGCAACUCGAGCGUCGCCGUCAAGGUCUCUUGCUUCAACUACGACGAGUCCUACGUGUCGGGCCACGUGUGCCCGCGCCUCUUCUACUUGGAGGCGGAUGACUACGUCGAGGAGGACACGGCUACCCCCGAGCUUGCCGAGGGGGCCGCCCCUGCUUCAGCCACCGCCCUCGUGGUAUACUAGCGGAAAAACUAUGCUGCUACCGAUGACGGUCAAUCAGGAGCGCCUCCUAGCUCUCCUGGACACGGGCUCUACACACAACUUCCUGACCGAGGCUACCAUGCGUCAUCUGGCACUCCAGCCGAGGGGCGGAGAGCAACUCAGGGUUACCGUGGCUAACGAUGAUCGCCUUCACUGCUACGGGAUUGCGCAGCAUGUUCCCAUCGUCAUCGGCGACGAACACUUCGCCAUCACAUGCGUGGGCAUCAACUUGGGCUGCUUCAACUUCAUCCUCGGCGUCGACUUCUUGCAGACCCUAGGUCCCAUCCUUUGGGACUUCGACGCCCUGACCAUGACUUUCUGGCAUCAGGGCUGCGAAGUGCAGUGGAAGGGCGAGGGUGGCGCUGCCCCAGCAGCUCCCCAGCCAUAGUUGUCGGCCGCCGUCGCCGACCCAGAGCCGCCCCUGUUGGCUCAUCUCCUGCAGCAGCACAGCGACAUUUUCGAUGAGCCCCAGGGUCUUCCGCCCGCCCAGGUCUGCGACCAUCGCAUUCACCUCCUCCCGGGUACAGCACCCGUCGUCGUACGGCCAUAUCGCUACCCACAGCUACAGAAGGACGAGCUGGAACGACAGUGCACACUCAUGCUCGCCUUGGGCGUCAUCCGAAUUUCUACUUCGCCGUUCUCGACACCGGUGCUCCUUGUUCGCAAUCCCGACGACUCGUGGUGUUUCUGCAUCGACUACCGUGCUCUCAACGCCAAGACGUCGAAGGACAAAUUUCCCAUACCAGUAGUGGAGGAGCUCCUGGACGAGCUUCAUGGGGCACGCUUCUUCACUAACCUCGACUUGCGUUCUGGCUAUCACCGGGUUCGGAUGCACCCGGACGACAUCGCGAAGACGGCCUUUCGCACCCAUCACGGCCACUUUGAGUUUUUGGUGAUGCCUUUCAGCUUUUUCAAUGCACCGGCGACAUUCCAGGCCUUGAUGAACGACGGCCUCCAGCCCUACUUACGGCGGUUUGUGCUUGUUUUCUUCGAUGAUACUCUCAUCUACAGCUCCUCUUGGGCGGAGCACUUGCAGCACGUCGCCAUUAUCUUCAACGAGCUUCGGGCGCAUCAACUGCACCUCAAGCGCCCGAAGUGUUCGUUUGGCACGACAUCCGUCGCUUAUCUCGGCCACGUCAUUUCGGCUAAGGGAGUUGCCAUGGAUGCCGACAAGAUCACGAUUGUCGCGUCUUGGCCGACGCCGCACUCGCCGCGGGCCCUCCGUGGAUUCUUGGGUCUAGCCGGCUAUUGCAGGAAGUUCAUCCGGCAGUUCGGCCUUCUCGCCGCGCCGCUCACCCAGCUGUUUCGCCGCGACGCCUUCUCCUUGGAUGAUGAGGCAGCUGCCGCUUUCCAGUCACUUAAGGAGGCUCUUACCACAGGACCGGUCCUCCAGAUGCCGGAUUUUGAGCAACAAUUCAUGGUUGACUGCGAUGCUUCGGGAAUGGGCUUCGGCGUUGUACUCCACCAGGGCGCGGGACCACUCGCCUUCUUCAGCCGACCAUUCGCCGCUCGUCACCACAAGCUCGCGGCCUACGAGCGGGAGCUCAUUGGUUUGGUACAGGUUGUGCGACACUGGCGGCCGUAUCUCUGGGACGACACUUCCUGAUUCGCACAGACCACUACAGCCUUACAUUUUUGCUGUAUCAGCGCCUCUCCACCAUUCCGCAGCACCAGUGGAUCAGCAAGCUCUUCGGUUACGACUUCACGAUUGAGUACCGGCCUGGCCACCUCAACAUCGUGGCGGACGCCUUGUCCUGCCAUGAUGCCGACCACGAAGAGGGCGCCACAGAUACCGAGGGCACUGUCCUCUGCAUCCGCUCUGGGCCCUCGUUCGUCUUCAUCGACAACAUUCGCCGAGCCACUGCGACGGCCGCCGAUGCUCAACUUCUUCGGCAGCGGCUCAAGGAGGGCGAUUUGCCGGCACCAUGGCGACUGGAUGACGGGUUACUUCUCCACGGACGGCGCCUCAAUCACGACGAUCUCCGUCAUCAGGCUAUUCUGUUGGCUCACUCAGCGGGGCACGAGGGGGUGCAGAAGACGCUCCAUCGACUCCGCGCCGAUUUCUAUCUUUCGGGGGAUCGUUCGUUGGUGCGAGACUGGAUGCGGCCUUGCGUAACAUGCCAGCGCAACAAGACAGAGACAUUGCAGCUGGCCGGCCUGCUACAGCCCCUUGAGGUGCCCUCACAGGUGUGGGCCGACAUCUCCAUGGAUUUUAUCGAGGGCCUUCCCAAGGUGGGCGGCAAGUCCAUCAUCCUCACGGUGGUGGGCCGUUUUUCCAAGUAUGCGCACUUUAUUGCGCUCGACCAUCCCUACACCGCCACCUCCGUCGCGCGGGCCUUCUUCGACGGCAUCGUCCGCCUCCACGGGUUUCCUUCUUCGAUCGUCAGCGACCGUGACCCGGUGUUCACCGGCCAUGUUUGGCGAGAUCUUUUUCGGCUGGCCGGCGUCAAGUUGCGCUUGAGCACAGCUUUUCAUCCCUAGACCGACGGCCAAUCAGAGGUCGUCAACAAGGUGAUUGCUAUGUACUUACGCUGCAUUACACGUGAUCGGCCACGAGCUGAGGCGGCGGGAGCCCUUCUUCAUGACCGCGAUGUCAUCCUUGCCGAGGUGCGGCAGCAUCGUCUGCGGGCCCAGUAGAUGUCCAAGAAAAAUUGACGGUCACCACCGCGAGGCCGAGUUUGCGGAGGGCGACUGGGUGUGGAUGCGGCUUCUCCACCGUACUAUGCAGUCCCUUGACCCUCACGCCAAGCGCAAGCUAGGUCCUUGCUAUAUUGGACCUUUUCAGGUGUUGGAACGCAUCGGCAGCAUCGCCUACAGCCUUCAGCUGCCACCUGGUGCCCGCAUCCACGAUGUCUUUCAUGUGGGCUUGUUGAAGCCGUUCCAUGGGGAGCCACCGGCGACUGGACCGGAUCUUCCUCCGACCUCCGACGGCCGUCUACUUCCAGAUCCAGCUAAGGUGUUAAAGGUCCAGCAAAGUCGUGGUGUGUGGCGCCUCUUGAUCCAGUGGCACGGCCUUCCCUAGGAGGACGCUACGUGGGAGACCGUUGAGGAGUUCCGCAAGCAUUUUCCCGACUUCCAGCUCGAGGAAGAGUUGUUUGCGCAGGCGGGGAGAGAUGUUAUGACCGGUUUGCAUUAUAACCGGAGAAGGCCCAGUUAAAGCAAGUUGGCCCGGUUAUCUUAUAGUAUUAGGGGCUUAGCCCAAUUUAUUAUAUUUCCUAGCCUAGAGAGAUUAUAUAUACUCAUGUAAGAGACACCGGUUAAGGUUAAGCAGAAUCAAUCUAUUUGAUCGGCUCCUAGCCGGAGCCGGUGCCCUAACCCUAGCCGCCCUAUUCUCUCUCGCGCGCGCGUGACAACGGGCCUCGCCACCGGCAGCCACGCCCAUCACCACGCCAACCACCCUUCCACCCAUACAACAUGCAAUCUAGGUCUGGUAGGGAUCCUAUUC
rnacentral:lncRNA from 1 species